GACGAACGCUGGCGGCGUGCCUAAUACAUGCAAGUCGAGCGGACCAAUAGAAGCUUGCUUCUAUUGGUUAGCGGCGGACGGGUGAGUAACACGUGGGCAACCUGCCUGUAAGACUGGGAUAACUUCGGGAAACCGGAGCUAAUACCGGAUAAUUCAUCCCCUCGCAUGAGGGGGUGCUGAAAGUCGGUUCACGCUGACACUUACAGAUGGGCCUGCGGCGCAUUAGCUAGUUGGUGAGGUAAUGGCUCACCAAGGCGACGAUGCGUAGCCGACCUGAGAGGGUGAUAGGCCACACUGGGACUGAGACACGGCCCAGACUCCUACGGGAGGCAGCAGUAGGGAAUCUUCCACAAGGGACGAAAGUCUGAUGGAGCAACGCCGCGUGAGCGAUGAAGGCCUUCGGGUCGUAAAGCUCUGUUGUUAGGGAAGAACAAGUACCGGAGUAACUGCCGGUACCUUGACGGUACCUAACCAGAAAGCCACGGCUAACUACGUGCCAGCAGCCGCCGCGG
rnacentral:rRNA from 1 species